GUCAUACUUUUAUGGUUAGAAUUUAAUAGCAUAGGUACACAUAAAAUAAUAUUAUAUGGUAAAAUAUUCCCGUUUAACAACUUAAAUUGUGUUAUCUUACUCAAAUAUUGAACCUAAACAGGGAUUAGAUACCCCUCUAUACAAUGCAUCUGACCCUAUGCAAAGUACUAAAAUUUUUAAAAUUAAAACUUAAACAUCAUGGCGGUAAUUUAAACUUAGGGGAACUUACCAGAUAAAUGAUAACCACCAAGGCGCUCAACUGUAGCUCAUUCUUGUAUGCCGUCGUCAUCAGGUAACACUGAAAGCUUUAUCAAAAUAAACGAAUUUAAAGGACAGAUCAAGGUGCAGACUAUACUACAGUCAUGGCGAGUUACAAUUACAACUAUCAACAGACGUAAUCUUAAUUAUCACAGAAGAAGGACUUAAUAGUAAUAAAUAUUAAUAAUAUCUUAUGAAAUGUUUAAAAUUGUGCACAA
rnacentral:rRNA from 1 species